CAUAGGUUAAUGAGGCGAACCGGGGGAACUGAAACAUCUAAGUACCCCGAGGAAAAGAAAUCAACCGAGAUUCCCCCAGUAGCGGCGAGCGAACGGGGAGCAGCCCAGAGCCUGAAUCAGUGUGUGUGUUAGUGGAAGCGUCUGGAAAGGCGCGCGAUACAGGGUGACAGCCCCGUACACAAAAAUGCACAUGCUGUGAGCUCGAUGAGUAGGGCGGGACACGUGGUAUCCUGUCUGAAUAUGGGGGGACCAUCCUCCAAGGCUAAAUACUCCUGACUGACCGAUAGUGAACCAGUACCGUGAGGGAAAGGCGAAAAGAACCCCGGCGAGGGGAGUGAAAAAGAACCUGAAACCGUGUACGUACAAGCAGUGGGAGCACGCUUAGGCGUGUGACUGCGUACCUUUUGUAUAAUGGGUCAGCGACUUAUAUUCUGUAGCAAGGUUAACCGAAUAGGGGAGCCGAAGGGAAACCGAGUCUUAACUGGGCGUUAAGUUGCAGGGUAUAGACCCGAAACCCGGUGAUCUAGCCAUGGGCAGGUUGAAGGUUGGGUAACACUAACUGGAGGACCGAACCGACUAAUGUUGAAAAAUUAGCGGAUGACUUGUGGCUGGGGGUGAAAGGCCAAUCAAACCGGGAGAUAGCUGGUUCUCCCCGAAAGCUAUUUAGGUAGCGCCUCGUGAAUUCAUCUCCGGGGGUAGAGCACUGUUUCGGCAAGGGGGUCAUCCCGACUUACCAACCCGAUGCAAACUGCGAAUACCGGAGAAUGUUAUCACGGGAGACACACGGCGGGUGCUAACGUCCGUCGUGAAGAGGGAAACAACCCAGACCGCCAGCUAAGGUCCCAAAGUCAUGGUUAAGUGGGAAACGAUGUGGGAAGGCCCAGACAGCCAGGAUGUUGGCUUAGAAGCAGCCAUCAUUUAAAGAAAGCGUAAUAGCUCACUGGUCGAGUCGGCCUGCGCGGAAGAUGUAACGGGGCUAAACCAUGCAC
rnacentral:rRNA from 1 species